GACGAACCGUACGAACGUUAUUCGGAAUUACUGGGCUUAAAGGGUGCGUAGGCGGCGCAGUAAGUUGGGUGUGAAAUCCCUCGGCUUAACCGAGGAAUUGCGCCCAAAACUACUGUGCUCGAGGGAGAUAGAGGUGAGCGGAACUUAGGGUGGAGCGGUGAAAUGCGUUGACAUCCUAAGGAACACCGGUGGCGAAAGCGGCUCACUGGAUCUCUUCUGACGCUGAGGCACGAAAGCUAGGGUAGCAAACGGG
rnacentral:rRNA from 1 species